rnacentral:rRNA from 1 species
UACGUAGGGUGCAAGCGUUAAUCGGAAUUACUGGGCGUAAAGCGUGCGCAGGCGGCUUUGCAAGACAGAUGUGAAAUCCCCGGGCUUAACCUGGGAACUGCAUUUGUGACUGCAAGGCUAGAGUGCGGCAGAGGGGGAUGGAAUUCCGCGUGUAGCAGUGAAAUGCGUAGAUAUGCGGAGGAACACCGAUGGCGAAGGCAAUCCCCUGGGCCUGUACUGACGCUCAUGCACGAAAGCGUGGGGAGCAAACAGG